rnacentral:rRNA from 1 species
UACAGAGGUCCCAAGCGUUGUUCGGAUUCACUGGGCGUAAAGGGUGCGUAGGCGGUCGGGUAAGUCUGAUGUGAAAUCUCACAGCUUAACUGUGAAACUGCAUUGGAUACUAUCCGGCUCGAGGAAUGGAGGGGAGACUGGAAUACUUGGUGUAGCAGUGAAAUGCGUAGAUAUCAAGUGGAACACCAGUGGCGAAGGCGAGUCUCUAGGCAUUUCCUGACGCUGAGGCACGAAAGCCAGGGGAGCAAACGGG